rnacentral:rRNA from 1 species
GACGAACCGAGCGAACGUUGUUCGGAAUCACUGGGCUUAAAGGGCGCGUAGGCGGGCUGCCGAGUCCGGGGUGAAAGCCCCCCGCUCAACGGGGGAACGGCCUCGGAUACUGGCGGUCUUGAGCAACCUAGGGGCGAGCGGAACAAAUGGUGGAGCGGUGAAAUGCGUAGAUAUCAUUUGGAACGCCAAUGGUGAAAACAGCUCGCUGGGGGUUUGCUGACGCUGAGACACGAAAGCCAGGGGAGCGAACGGG